rnacentral:rRNA from 1 species
CUUAAAACGCGCCAAAUGGCACCCUUUGUUUACGAGUACCGUUCGUUUCCUCGGUGGGCUUGCCUGCCAUGAGGACCAACAAAAACCUUUUGUAGUAGCAGUAUCUUCAGUAAAAACAAAUAUUAAAACUUUCAACAACGGAUCUCUUGGUUCUGGCAUCGAUGAAGAACGCAGCGAAAUGCGAUAAGUAGUGUGAAUUGCAGAAUUCAGUGAAUCAUCGAAUCUUUGAACGCACAUUGCGCCCUUCGGUAUUCCGUUGGGCAUGCCUGUUCGAGCGUCAUUUAAUCAUUCAAGCUCUGCUUGGUGUUGGGUGUUUGUUCCGCCUCAGCGCGUGGACUCGCCUUAAAUUCAUUGGCAGCCGGUAUGUUGGCUUCGUGCGCAGCACAUUGCGUCGCGAUUCUGGCAGGCCUCCUCCCAUUAUWCUUCUUUUAAGUUUGACCUC